AUUGAACGCUGGCGGCAGGCCUAACACAUGCAAGUCGAGCGGUAACACAGGGAGCUUGCUCCCGGGUGACGAGCGGCGGACGGGUGAGUAAUGUCUGGGAGACUGCCUGAUGGAGGGGGGUAACUACUGGAAACGGUAGCUAAUACCGCAUAACGUCGCAAGACCAAAGAGGGGGACCUUCGGGCCUCUUGCCAUCAGAUGUGCCCAGAUGGGAUUAGCUAGUAGGUGGGGUAAUGGCUCACCUAGGCGACGAUCCCUAGCUGGUCUGAGAGGACGACCAGGCACGCUGGAGCUGAGACACGGUCCAGACUCCUACGGGAGGCAGCAGUGGGGAAUAUUGCACAAGGGGAGCAAGCCUGAUGCAGCCAUGCCGCGUGUAUGAAGAAGGCCUUCGGGUUGUAAAGUACUUUCAGCGGGGAGGAAGGUGUUGAGGUUAAUAACCUCAGCAAUUGACGUUACCCGCAGAAGAAGCACCGGCUAACUCCGUGCCAGCAGCCGCCGUAAGAC
rnacentral:rRNA from 1 species